AACGAACGCUGGCGGCAUGCCUAACACAUGCAAGUCGAACGAUCCCUUCGGGGAUAGUGGCGCACGGGUGCGUCACGCGUGGGAACCUGCCCUUAGGUUCGGAAUAACUCAUAGACAUUUGAGCUAAUAUCGGAUAAUGUCUUCUGAUCCAAGAUUUAUCGCCUUUGGAUGGGCCGGCGUUGGAUUAGCUAGUUGGUGUGGUAAAGGCCUAUCACGGCGACGAUCCAUAGCUGGUCUGAGAGGAUGAUCAGCCACACUGGGACUGAGACACGGCCCAGACUCUUACGGGAGGCAGGAGUGGGGAAUAUUGGAAAAUGGGCGAAAGGAUGAUGGAGCAAUGGCGCGAGAGUGAUGAAGGUGGUAGGGUUGUAAAGCUCGUUUAUCCGGGAUGAUAAUGACAGUACCGGAAGAAUAAGCCCCGGCUAACUCCGUG
rnacentral:rRNA from 1 species